rnacentral:snoRNA from 1 species
AAGAUCAUACUUUUAGGGAUCAUUUCUAUAGUGUGCAUCUUCAAAACGUCAUCAAACUAUGGCGAAUCCUCAACUACGAUAAUGAGUUGUAGGGAUUCCUUCUGAGCAUGAAGCUUGGUUCGUUGUAUCUUCGGAUAUUGCUAAGUAUUAAGAAUUGUUCUUUGAUUUCCAAAUUGGAGAUCUAGGAGGAAGGAAUCUCCGGCUGAGUAG